rnacentral:lncRNA from 1 species
GGUUGGAUAGUGGGUUGCUGCUCUCAAUUGAUGUCUCGUGCACUACCAUAACACUUAACAUGCCCUUGUUUAUAUGAGAAGGGUAAUCAUUCACAUGAUGUGGUCUUGUAUAAAGAAAAAAACCCUACUUGUGUGGCUGUCAUAACAAGCAAUGGUAAUAGAAAACUUGGCUGCCAUCUAACUACUACUACCUAUGGUUGUUCCUAUAGUGGUCUUACUUCCCUCCAUAAUCUUUAUCAUAAGCAACAUUUUAGCCACCAC